CACGUAGGGACCAAGCGUUGUCCGGAUUCAUUGGGCGUAAAGAGCUCGUAGGCGGUUCAGUAAGUCGGGUGUGAAACCUCCAGGCUCAACCUGGAGACGCCACCCGAUACUGCUGUGACUAGAGUCCAGUAGGGGAGCGUGGAAUUCCUGGUGUAGCGGUGAAAUGCGCAGAUAUCAGGAGGAACACCGGUGGCGAAGGCGGGUCUCUGGGCCGAUACUGACGUGAGGAGCGAAAGCGUGGGGAGCGAACAGG
rnacentral:rRNA from 1 species